CGCCGUCUUCGGCUCGGAUGCGAUCUCCUUGGAGUCGGGUUGCUUGGGAGUGCAGCCCUAAUCGGGUGGUAAACUCCACCUAAGGCUAAAUACCGCCGUGAGACCGAUAGCAAACAAGUACCGUGAGGGAAAGUUGCAAAGAACUUUGAAGAGAGAGUUCAAGAGUACGUGAAACUGCUCAGAGGUAAACGGGUGGGCCCUCGAAAUCCUGUGGCGAGAGGAUUCAGUCUGGCUCGGAGGACGUCUUUGCGGAAGUCAGGCAGGGCUUCCCUCGAUCGGGGCCGUCCGCGAGGGCGACUUCUUCCGUUCCAGACGCAUUUGUCUCUCGUCCGAAGGACGCUGCAGCCGGUUUGGAAGUGCAAGCGCGACGGCCUGAAGGUCGGGAAAUGGCAGGUGGCCGGCGGCUCGCCUCGUGCGGGUUGUCGGUUGUUAGCCGUCCCGUCAGUGGCCCGUCUCCAGACCGUGGUGUCGCGAGUCCCUAGUGGACUCCUCGUCUCCCACCCUGAGUCGCGGGACUGAGGGCUGCAAGGGUCUUUUGUUCUCGCCGUCGCACUCUUACGGAGUGGGCGGAGAGGCACGAGGCCCCGAUGGUAGCCUCGGACCUGCGGGGGACCGGAGGCUGGCAGCGAGUAGGUCGGUCACCCACCCGACCCGUCUUGAAACACGGACCAAGGAGUCUAACAUGUGCGCGAGUCAAUGGGUCUUGACUAGGCCCAGGGGCGCAAUGAAAGCGAAGGACUGCCCAGCGCAGUCUGAGUGGGGAUCCCUCCUCCUCGUGGGGGGGGCGCACCCGC
rnacentral:rRNA from 1 species